AAAAGUAUUGAUUGCUCUCGUAACCUUCCGGUCUAUUCUUUUUCUCUCACUCGUUGAAAAAAACGAGAUUUUUUUGAAAAGGUUUGGAUUUAUUCUGGAUAAACCGACGAGUCAAUAAAUAUACAUAUUUAGUUUAGGCGCAGUAAAUUGUGGGUACCGGCGAAGUCGUGGGGAGUCGAUUUUUUCUUCAUACUUAACCUCCGGACCCGUUAAGUACGAGGCGAAGUAAAGUUUCCGUUUGAAUGUCUCCCGUGGAUAUUUCUGAUGGCUCGCAUACGUGUUUCAGGCAGCUUAGUUUGUUACGCGUGACGCGUGGUCUCGUGAAUUAGCCCAGGAGGAUUCGCAAAAUCGGACGAUAUUUAUCCCGAACGAACAAUUUGCGAAUCUUCUCGAGUCUGACUCUCGGGUCACCGAUAAAUAUUUCGGGCGAAUUUCGUCUUUAUAUUUAUUGCGGGACUGGCGGAAAGGAGAAUGAUAAUUCGUUUCGAGGAUACCCUCUCUCGUUUUAUUGGGUCCUUAUUAGCGGAUAAAAUGAACGAGAAAAUUUAUUUUGUUUACACCGCGCCCUUUUCUUCGGAGAUUGGGUUAUGGUGUAGAGUCUUUUAUCAUU
rnacentral:misc_RNA from 1 species